rnacentral:lncRNA from 1 species
CCGGAUUUAGCCCAACAUCCGUAACUAGGAUUGAUAACAAAGCAGCCCAAACAGUACAGGCCCGAAGUUUUUGACUGUUUUUCUGAAGAAAACCUGUUUUCUUUUUUUUCUUUUUUGCGUGUCUUUGUUUGAGAAAAUUAAAAAGGAUAAGUUUUUUUUUUUGUGAGAAAUAAAAGUAUUACAUAAUAAAAUUAAAAAU